UGAUAAGAAGAUGAGUAUAGAAUGUCAACAUAUUUUAAGUUUUUUUUAUUUACUGCGCAAAAUUAAAUCAUAUUAUUUCUGAACAUUCACAGAAAUAUGAACAUUUGCUUUUAUCAAUUUGGAUAUCUGAAAAGAGAAUUUAUUCGUGGAUUGCAACUCUUCUCAAAAAAAUAAUCCGAGUCCUUUUCUAAGUUCAGAAUACUUCGGAUUUAAAAUGGACGACCGCACUUAGUUAUUUAAAUUGCGCAUAUGCUAUGACUAAAACGUCUUAUAUUUAAGCAUAUUAUUUUUUUUUUUCAUCUGAUUUUCAUUGAUAGCAAUGGAAGAAACAAUCAGUUUUUUUUCCCAUCAUAUUAUUGUUUAAUAUUAGUGAAAUUACAUUAAUGUUUU
rnacentral:lncRNA from 1 species